rnacentral:rRNA from 1 species
UACAGAGGGGGCAAGCGUUGUUCGGAAUUACUGGGCGUAAAGGGCGCGUAGGCGGCCUGUUAAGUCGAACGUGAAAUCCCCGGGCUCAACCCGGGAACUGCGUCCGAUACUGGAAGGCUUGAAUCCGGGAGAGGGAUGCGGAAUUCCAGGUGUAGCGGUGAAAUGCGUAGAUAUCUGGAGGGACACCGGUGGCGAAGGCGGCAUCCUGGACCGGCAUUGACGCUGAGGCGCGAAAGCCAGGGGAGCAAACGGG